UUUGUAUAAUGGGUCAGCGACUUAUAUUCAGUGGCAAGGUUAACCAUCUAGGGGAGCCGUAGGGAAACCGAGUCUUAACUGGGCGUUCAGUCUCUGGAUAUAGACCCGAAACCAGGUGAUCUAGCCAUGGGCAGGUUGAAGGUUGAGUAACAUCAACUGGAGGACCGAACCGACUAAUGUUGAAAAAUUAGCGGAUGACUUGUGGCUAGGGGUGAAAGGCCAAUCAAACCUGGAGAUAGCUGGUUCUCCCCGAAAGCUAUUUAGGUAGCGCCUCGGACGAAUACUACUGGGGGUAGAGCACUGUUAAGGCUAGGGGGUCAUCCCGACUUACCAACCCUUUGCAAACUCCGAAUACCAGUAAGUACUAUCCGGGAGACACACGGCGGGUGCUAACGUCCGUCGUGGAGAGGGAAACAACCCAGACCGCCAGCUAAGGUCCCAAAUUACUACUAAGUGGGAAACGAUGUGGGAAGGCUCAGACAGCCAGGAUGUUGGCUUAGAAGCAGCCAUCAUUUAAAGAAAGCGUAAUAGCUCACUGGUCGAGUCGGCCUGCGCGGAAGAUGUAACGGGGCUAAGUAGUAAACCGAAGCUGCGGCAAUGUGCUUUUGCACAUUGGGUAGGGGAGCGUUCUGUAAGCGGUUGAAGGUGUGUGGUAACGCAUGCUGGACGUAUCAGAAGUGCGAAUGCUGACAUGAGUAACGAUAAAGGGGGUGAAAAACCUCCUCGCCGGAAGACCAAGGGUUCCUGUCCAACGUUAAUCGGGGCAGGGUAAGUCGACCCCUAAGGCGAGGCCGAAAGGCGUAGUCGAUGGGAAACGGGUUAAUAUUCCCGUACUUCUUACAAUUGCGAUGGGGGGACGGAGAAGGCUAGGUGGGCCUGGCGACGGUUGUCCAGGUUCAAGUGCGUAGGCUUAAGAGUUAGGUAAAUCCGGCUCUUUCUAAGGCUGAGACACGACGUCGAGCACCUACGGGUGUGAAGUCAUUGAUGCCAUGCUUCCAGGAAAAGCCUCUAAGCUUCAGAUUGUAAGGAAUCGUACCCCAAACCGACACAGGUGGUCGGGUAGAGAAUACCAAGGCGCUUGAGAGAACUCGGGUGAAGGAACUAGGCAAAAUGGUACCGUAACUUCGGGAGAAGGUACGCUCUUGAUGGUGAAGUCCCUUGCGGAUGGAGCUGACGAGAGUCGCAGAUACCAGGUGGCUGCAACUGUUUAUUAAAAACACAGCACUGUGCAAAAUCGUAAGAUGACGUAUACGGUGUGACGCCUGCCCGGUGCCGGAAGGUUAAUUGAUGGGGUUAGACUUCGGUCGAAGCUCUUGAUCGAAGCCCCGGUAAACGGCGGCCGUAACUAUAACGGUCCUAAGGUAGCGAAAUUCCUUGUCGGGUAAGUUCCGACCUGCACGAAUGGCGUAAUGAUGGCCACGCUGUCUCCACCCGAGACUCAGUGAAAUUGAAAUCGCUGUGAAGAUGCAGUGUACCCGCGGCUAGACGGAAAGACCCCGUGAACCUUUACUACAGCUUGGCACUGAACAUUGACCCUACAUGUGUAGGAUAGGUGGGAGGCUUUGAAGCACGUACGCCAGUAUGUGUGGAGCCGUCCUUGAAAUACCACCCUUGUAGUGUUGAUGUUCUAACGUCGACCCCUAAUCGGGGUUGCGGACAGUGCCUGGUGGGUAGUUUGACUGGGGCGGUCUCCUCCCAAAGAGUAACGGAGGAGCACGAAGGUGGGCUAAUCACGGUUGGACAUCGUGAGGUUAGUGCAAUGGCAUAAGCCCGCUUGACUGCGAGAAUGACAAUUCGAGCAGGUGCGAAAGCAGGUCAUAGUGAUCCGGUGGUUCUGAAUGGAAGGGCCAUCGCUCAACGGAUAAAAGGUACUCCGGGGAUAACAGGCUGAUACCGCCCAAGAGUUCAUAUCGACGGCGGUGUUUGGCACCUCGAUGUCGGCUCAUCACAUCCUGGGGCUGAAGUCGGUCCCAAGGGUAUGGCUGUUCGCCAUUUAAAGUGGUACGCGAGCUGGGUUUAGAACGUCGUGAGACAGUUCGGUCCCUAUCUGCCGUGGGCGUUGGAAGAUUGAAGGGGGCUGCUCCUAGUACGAGAGGACCGGAGUGGACGAACCUCUGGUGUUCGGGUUGUGUCGCCAGACGCAUUGCCCGGUAGCUAAGUUCGGAAUCGAUAACCGCUGAAAGCAUCUAAGCGGGAAGCGAGCCCUGAGAUGAGUCUUCCCUGAUACUUUAAGUAUCCUAAAGGGUUGUCGGAGACUACGACGUUGAUAGGUCAGGUGUGUAAGUGCUGUGAGGCAUUGAGCUAACUGAUACUAAUUGCCCGUGAGGCUUAACCAU
rnacentral:rRNA from 1 species